CCUACGGGAGGCAGCAGUGGGGAAUAUUGCGCAAUGGGCGAAAGCCUGACGCAGCGACGCCGCGUGAGGGAUGAAGGUCUUCGGAUCGUAAACCUCUUUCAGCAGGGAAGAACGGUCACUGUGCUAAUCAGCAGUGAAUUGACGGUACCUGCAAAGGAAGCACCGGCUAACUCCGUGCCAGCAGCCGCGGUAAUACGGAGGGUGCGAGCGUUAAUCGGAUUUACUGGGCGUAAAGCGCUCGUAGGCGGUAUGUCAAGUCAAGGGUAAAUCCCCGGGCUCAACGUGGGGACUGCCUUUGAAACUGGCAAACUGGAGUGUGUGAGAGGAUAGUGGAAUUCCAGGUGUAGGAGUGAAAUCCGUAGAUAUCUGGAGGAACAUCAGUGGCGAAGGCGACUAUCUGGCACAUAACUGACGCUGAGGAGCGAAAGCGUGGGUAGCAAACAGGAUUAGAUACCCCUGUAGUC
rnacentral:rRNA from 1 species